UGAUUGGCAAAGUGGAAACGUCCAUGUGCCUCGUAUUGCACUCUGCCGUUAUUACCAAACGUGAGGAAAAUGUGGACUAUUUUAGAGUGGCUCACGAGGUCCUUCAGACCUUCAUGCAUCGUUACUACCAUUGCUCAGCCAGGGAAGUUCGAGAAUGUCUGGUGAUGAACUACACUCGUCAAAUUUUCCGCAUCAUUCAACGUUACAUUAAUGCCUAAAACGACUAGUAUUGUGUGUCUCAAUCAACAGGGAAUUUCAAAAAUGUGAUUUAUGACCCCUCUUCAUCGUUUCUCAAGAUUGAAUUCGUAAUAAAAAGACAUUCAGUAGA